rnacentral:lncRNA from 10 species
GUUCAGGCAUGGCGGGCUGCAGGUCCCGAGCCCUGCCCCACGGGAAGGCAGCUAAGGCCCGGGGAGAAAUUGAGCACAGCAGCUGCUGGCCCAGGUGCUAAGCCCCUCACUGCCCGGGCCGGCGGGGUAGCCGGCCGCUCCGAGCGCGGCGUUCGCGGAGGCCACGCCCACCCGGAACUCGCGCUGACCCGCAAGCACCGCGCGCAGCCCUGGUUCCCGCCCGCGCCUUUCCCUCCACACCUCCCCGCAAGCUGAGGGAGCCGGCUCCGGCCUUGGCCAGCCCAGAAAGGGGCUUCCACAAGUGCAGCGGCGGGCUGAAGGGCUCCUCAAGUGCCGCCAAAGUGGGAGCCCAGGCAGACGAGGCGCCGAGAGGGAGCGACGGCCGUGAGGACUGCCAGCACGUUGUCACCUCUCAGUAUGAGUUAAGCCUGGAGAUAUAGGUAACAGGGAUACAGGAUAAUGAAAAAAGGAAAAAAAAUCCUGUCUUCCAGGAGCUUAUGUGAUUGUUCCAGAGGACAUUAAGUGAUGUGAUAAGGGCCAUGAAGGGGACAUGAACAAGAAACUCUGAGGUCCUAAGAACUGAUUCUACUUUUGCCAGGUGUGGUAACACCCUGGACUACAAUCUAAAGAUGGACCCUGCUCGCUCAAUCUCUAGUUUAAUUACCUUUGGCCUCCCUAUUCCCUGAGAAGCAACAAUAUUGAAAUCAGACCAACUAAUAACUCUACAAUGGCUUCUAAGCGCUCAAGGAAGAGUCACAUACCUCUCACUUUAAAUUAAAAACCAGAAAUUAUUAAGCUUAGUGAGGAAGGCAUGUGAAAGGCCAAGACAGGACAAAAGCUAGGCUCCUUGUGCCAAACAGCUAAGUUGUGAAUGCAAACAAAAAGUUCUUAAAGGAAAUUAAAGCUACUACUCUAGUGAACACAGAAAUGAUAAGAGAGCAAAGCAGCCUUAUUGCUGAUAGGGAGAAAGUUUGAGUGGUCUGGAUAGAUGAUCAAACCAGCCACCAUUCUCCCUUAAACCAAAGCCUAAUCUAGAGCAACACCCUAACUCUCUUCAAUUCUAUAAAGGCUGAGAGAGGUGAGGAAGCUGCAGAAAAAAAGUUUGAAGUUAGCAGAGGUUGAUUCCUGAGGUUUAAAGGAAGGAGCCAUCUCUAUAACAUAAAAGUGCAAGAUGAAGCAGCUGAGGGCUGAUGGAAAAGCUGCAGCAAGUUAUCCAGGAGAUCUAGCUAAGAAAAUUGAUGGAGGUGGCUACACUGAACAACAUAUUUUCAAUGUAGAUUAAACAGGCUGUAUGGCAUCUUCUUCCAAACAAGCCUUCCUCAUACUGGAAGAAGAUGCCAUCUAGGACUUUCAUAGCUAGAGAGGAGAAGUCUAUUCAUGGCUGCAAAUAUAACCCUAGGAAUUAUACCAAAUCUACUCUGCCUGUGCUCUAUAAAUAAAACAACAGUCCGAAUGGCAGCACAUCUGUUUACAACACGGUUUACUAAAUAUGUUAAGCCCACUGUCGAGACCUGCUGCUCAGAAAAAAAAAGAUUUCUUUCAAAAUAUCACUGCUCAUUGACAGUGCACCUAGUGACUCAAGAGCUCUGGUGGAAGAACACAAAAAGAUUAAUGUUUUUAUGCCUGUUAACACAACCUCCACUCCAUAGCCCAUGGAUCAAGGAGUAAUUUUGACUUUCAAGUCUUAUUAGUUAAGAAAUAUAUUUAAUAACAUUAUAGCUGCUAUAGUUAAUGAUUUCUCUGAUGAAUAAGAGCAAAAUAAAUUGAAAACUUUCUGGAAAGGAUUCACCAUCUAGAUGCCAUUAAGAACAUUUGUGAUUUACAGGAGGAGGUCAAAAUAUCAGCAUUAACAGGAAUUUGGAAGAUGUUGAUUCCAACCCUCAUGGAUGACUUUGAGGAGUUGAAGACUAUGGUGGAGAAAGUCACUGCUGCUGUGGCAGAAACAGUAAGAUAACCGAAUUAGAUGUGGAGCCUGAAGCUGUGACUAAAUUGCUGCAAUCAUGAGAUAAAACUUAAAUGAAUGAAGAGUUUCUUCUUAUGAUGAGCAAAGAAAGUGGUUUCUUGGGAUGGAAUCAACUCCUGGUGAAGAUGCUGUGAACAUUGCUGAAAUAACAACAAAGGAUUUAGAAUAUUACACAAACUUCACAGAUAAAGCAGUGGCAGUUUGAGAGGACUGACUCCAAUGUUGAAAAAGUUGUACUGUGGGUAAAAUGCUAUCAAAUAGCUUCUCAUGGUACAGAGAAAUCUUUCCUGAAAGGAAAAGUUAAUCGAUGCAUCAAACUUCAUUGUCUUAUUUUAAGAAGUUACCACAGCCACCUUAAACCUUCAGCAACCACUACCCUGAUCAGUCAGCAACCAUCAACACCUAGGAAAGACCCUCCACCAGCAAAAAGACUACAACUCGCUGAAGACUCAGGUGAUCAUUAGCAUUUUUUAGGAGUAACGUAUUUUUUAAUUAAGGUAUAUACAUUGUUUUUUAGGCAUAAUGCUGUUGCACAAAAUAGACUACAGUAUAGCAAAAACAUAACUUUCAUAUGCACUGGGAAGACAAAAAAAUUAUGUGACUUGCUUUAUUGUGGUGGUCCAGAACUGAAUCCACAAUGUCUCUUAGGUAUGCCUGUAUAUGAAGAGCUGACUAGAGAAAAGUUUCUCAGAAACACAAAGCCACAGUAGAAGUGAGACAGCCUAAUUUAAAUAAAUUAAAAGAAAAAGAAAAGAACUCUAAAAGGCACCAUGCCUUUGCUGAAAAAAGCCAUUUGUUUGCUAGUGUGAGUUCUGACAAAGACCAAAUUCUGUCUUAAGUACAUGUUAGGAGCUUGCGUUGAAGUUCUCUAAGGGCAGUUUAACCACACACAGUAAGAGAUUACAUCUUCCAUUCUAAUUUGCAUUCAUUAAAAUACAAUUAUUAAAAUGGUGAGACAGUCAGAUGUUUGGUCUAGAUCUUCACAGUUGCUCAUGAUUUCAUGUUCCUGAAAAUAUAAUCUGCACUUUUCUGAAAAAGGAAAAUGAAAGAGGAUGGGUGACUCUCAGUCAAUCCAUGUGAUUUCUGCAUGAG